CUAACUACUUUACUAGUACAAUGUCAUAAUGGUAAACAAAAUAAAUUAUGAAUGUUAAUUAAAACAAGUAGGUACCUACUCAGGUACUUCAAUUUUAAAUAAUAAUACUUCACAAUGUGCUUUUUUAUAAUACUUUAAUUUGCAAUGUAAAAAUAAUUCAAUUCAAAAUAGGUGUUUUAUUAACUGAAACUAAUAUAAUGCAUGAUAAUUGGAUACCAACUUGGAAACUUCAUUUUCAAAUUGUUUGUCAAACAUGUUAUUCUGCAUAGUUUACAAUUUUUAUUUAAACAUUGUAUACAAAUGGACCACUUACAUUGUCUCAUAGGAUAUCAUAUUAUAAUAAAACAAUACAAUACUAUACAAACACCAAGUCAAAACUUUUAAAUUCAUCUGCAAAUUCUUUAUUUGGUGACUAUUUAAUUUGUAUAGUUAAUUGUAAAAAUUAGUAAUUCAUAAUAAAUUACACUGAACUAUGAGAAACUAUAUCUAUGACUAGACAAUACAAUUUGAUUUGACUAGCAAAUGUUUCAUAACUGUACCAGUACACUGAUAUUUGAUAUUUAUGUAAAUUAUUAUGGAAUCAAAUAUAUUUCUGUAAUAUAAUAUAGUCUCUGAACAAACUACUCAAUUAAUUGUAUUGUAAAGUUAAUUUUUACGAAUAGGGAAAUAUUAAGUCAGCCUACUUAAAGGUUAUGUUAUUAAAUUGUAAUACGAUUCCUCAUAAGUAGCAUUAUGAGGUUGUUAAAAUAGAAAAUUUUACAUUUUUAAAAAAAAUUAAUCAGACAUUUCCAAUUUUUAAUUAACUUAUUUUCAAAAAAUGUAAGAUGAAAAAUUAACUAUGUUUGUACUAAUUGUAUUUGUUGUAUUUGAAGUCCGUAGCCCUUAAAUAAGUUUAAAUGUAGAGUAGUUAAUAUAUUAUGUACAUUUAAUUUUUAUAAUUUUAUCAAGUGUAGUGUGUGUGUCAAGUGUUAAUAUUUUUUGUUGGUUUAUGACCUUACCCAAAUUCUGCAAAAACUUGCAUUACGGAAAUUAGGCCAUACUCCAGUAGAAUUAUUGAUAACUAAUGCACUUAUUAUUUUUGAUAAUUUAAUAUUAAAUUAGUGUCCAUUAUGUGGCUUAUUCACACACAAGAUAGUUUUUACAUUAAAUGCAUAUUAUGUGUAUUAGGUUUUAAUACAAUAGCAAUUAUUUAUUACAAGCAUACAUUUCUUAAAAAAUUAUUUUAUUUCAUAUUUUUAGUAUUAAUUAUUAUAAUCACAUUCUGUUUUGGAAUAUAAAAUUCUUAUGGAUAAAAAAUAUUUAAAAACAUGUUUUAAUAAAAAUGUUGUAUUGUAAACGACUUGAAAUAAAUGUAUGGCUGCUCUAUUCUAAAUACUGUUAUGUAAAAAAAAUGUUAUUAAUUUCUAGCUUCUCCCCUACAAACGGCCUUGUGUGUGAUUUGACUUAUAACUACUCUUAGAAUUAUGUUGGGUUAUGGACUUUUAGACAAAUGAAUAAAAUUAUUUUAUAACUUUUAUUAAAAUUUUUUAAUGUAAACAUUUAUUCAUAAUUUUCAAAAUGUCCUCCAUUUCUCGCUACACAUUUCUCAUGCCUCGUCAUAAUGGAAUUAGUUAGCAGUACCAUAUUCGCUAUAAACUCUAAUCGCCUCUCUGGGUCAGAAGGUUUUAAACCUUGUACAUAGUGUAUUUUAUACGGGUGAUACAAAUUUGUCUUUAAAAUACGGUGUACAGAGGUAUGGCUUAUGUUUGUUUGCCUGGAUAUUGACCUUGUAGAAGCAUGCGGAUCAACACUAAACGCAGCCAAGAUACUAACCGAAUGUCGCUCAUCAGAUGUGACAUUAUUUUUUGAUUUAUGAAGACCAUUUGGAAAGCUACCUAGAGUUAAAAAUAAGAGAAUUUAAUUUUUUUUAAUGUUGAUUGUGAUUGUGUAUGUACUAUUGACUUAUAA